ensembl:lncRNA
GGAGAUGUUAGCAUAAUCAGAAGGUUAUGCAAGUCUGUUAUGAAAGUCAGAUAAUUACACUAGGUUUUGAAGAACUUGUCUUUGUAUGUUUCUAUCUUUAACUUUAAUUUGUCUGUGGAUGGAGAAGUCAAGAGAGAUGUGAAGGAGGCGGUGCGUGUGAUAGGCUUUCUAAGAUGAACUCAAAUUAGAGCAUUGUGAAUGGCGAUGCAGAUUUCUACUUAGAAUGUAUUCGUUGUAUUUAGGGGCUGAAGAUAUCACAAGAAUUUAUUUCGUUUGCUUUGUGUGUGUGUAUUUUUUUUUUUUUUGAGCCGGAGUCUGGCUCUGUCGCCCAGGCUGGAGUGAGCCGCGCCAUCUUGGCUCACUGCAAGCUCCGCCCCCCGGGUUCCCGCCAUUCUCCUGCCUCAGCCUCCGGAGUAGCUGGGACCACAGGCGCCGCCACCGCGCCCGGCUAGUUUUUUGUAUUAUUUUUAGUAGAGCCGAGGUUUCACCAUGUUAGCCAGGAUGGUCUCCAUCUCCUGACCUCGUGACCCGCCCACCUCAGCCUCCCAAAGUGCUGGGAUUACAGGCUUGAGCCACCGCGCCCGGCCGUGUAUUUUUUUUUUUUUUUUUUUAAAUAAUAAACUUUAUUUUAGAUUCAGGGGAUAAACGUGCAGAUUUGUUACACGGAUAUGCUGUGUGAUGCUGAGGUUUGGGCUACGGAUGAUUUCAUCACCCAGGUAGAAUAUGGGGAUUAAGCCACACCAUCGUUGAAGUUAACAGAAUCCCACUGGCAUGAAACCCAAACUUUCAGACAUACGGUGCUCAACCAUUGGUCUGGACCAUGGGACCUUCAACCACUAUGAGAAAAUUGCAGAAACCACAGUGUUUUAAAUCUGCCAUGGAAUGUGAAGGCACCUUGCCAGAGAUUCAAGAUGCUGUAAAUGUAGGAGCAGGAAGAAUGAUGUGUCUAAAAAUCCUGGACAGAUUCCUGAGUAUCUCAUGACUGAUAGGGUCAGUAGGCGGCUUUGAAACUCUACAAGCUACUGCAGGAAGUGUUCAAUUUAGAUGCAGGGAACCUCAAAGGUUUGGAAAUCAGAUAUUGGAAUGUGGGAUGAAUUUUUCCCCGUAAUAUAAUAUUACAAGUUGUAGUAAAUUUCUUAUGCUUUCCACUCCAGAGCUCAAUGAAACCAUAUGUAUGUAUGUGUAUGUGUACAUACACACACUUAGAUGACAGACAUAGAUAGAUAGAUAGAUAGAUAGAUAGAUAGAUAGAUAGAUAGAUACACAGAUACAUAGAUAGAUAGAUAAAUUUAGAUAGAUCAGCGACUAGCCUAGGAUCAGCAGCUUUACAUUAUUCAAAAUUCCUGCCAGGGAUCCUCUGUUUUUGGUGAGGAAAGCAUAUAAAGAAGCCAGGUACUAGGUGCCCACUAAGUUUGGCAUUUUAAAAAAUCACAGAAUUCUUUGUAUGAUCAAGUCUUUAUACCCAAUUACAUAAUUAACCUGUAUAGGCAUACUUGAAAUGGUACCUCAGCUUAAGGAAGAGCAAACAGAGAAAAUAUCAACUUCUCUUUAAGAAGAUCUUCAUUAACAAUAAAGAAGACCAUAAUGAUGUCUGUCCAUGAGCUUGAUUGCUGUAUCUCUUUAGCAUUCAAUAGUUUCCACUAGCCUUUCCUCCUGAUAGAGUGGGACAGAUCUCUCUGUGAAUUUCUGCAUUUUCCAAAUUUCACCCACAUCUUGAUCACCUUAAUCUUUACUUCCUCCUUUUGCAUCUUAUUUACUAAAUCUUCCCUUAUUCCCAGAU